UGGAUAACCUGCCCUCGGCACCGGGAUAGCCCGGGGAAACCCGGAUUAAUACCGGAUGGCCCUUCCGACUUUCGAGUCGGUCGGCAAAGGUAGCUUCGGCCUCCGGCCGAGGAUGGGUCCGCGGCGGAUUAGCUUGUUGGUGAGGUAAUGGCCUACCAAGGCUUCGAUCCGUAGCUGGUCUGAGAGGACGAUCAGCCACACUGGGACUGAGACACGGCCCAGACUCCUACGGGAGGCAG
rnacentral:rRNA from 1 species